UAUGUACUCCCUCCAGCUGGAAUUACUUGUCACAAAAAUGGAUAUAAAUGGGGAUGUAUUUAGAACUAAAAUACAUCUAGAUACAUCAAUUCCUAUGACAAGUAAAUCCGGACGGAGGGAGUAUUAU
rfam:Hordeum vulgare subsp. vulgare, WGS project CAJW01000000 data, contig: morex_contig_1561347